rnacentral:lncRNA from 1 species
GUUAACUUCAAGAAUUCAGAAGUCUGUUUAUUGGAAGAAGUCCAUUACUUCACAUCUAAGCUCAUUUUUUUCAGGUGCAAAGAAAAUAAGAAGUACCUCUACUGAACUAUGAGGAAGUUUUCAUCAACAGCUAAUGCCUAGAGCUCUGCUUUUGAUUUUUCUUUUGCACAUAAAGGUAAGCAAAGUUCUCCAGUCUGUCUCAUUACACAGCAUUAAAAAUUCUUGAUGUUGAAACACCUUUACAGUAGAGACAAGUGCUUUCUUUCAAAUUUUAUGUUUCCAGAAGCAGAAGAUGAUUGACAGUGAGUGCAAAACAGCCAACACAGGGAGUGAGCUUCCUCAAGUCUUCUGCAGCCCAAAAGAUUUCCUCUGGAAGCCUCACUAGGAGAGGUAGGUGCUGCUGGCUUGGUCUGUAUUGUCCAAACUCUGUAAGCUAUAAACUGGAGCCUGAAUUGUGUUGGAAUUGAAAUUUCCUCAGCACCAAAACUGCUAUUUCUGAAUGUAGCCAGGUUGCUUUCUGAAAUGUGAAGGAGAGAAUGGAAUUUCUGAAAAGCAUGCCAACUCCCCUUGGAGGUGUGAGGCAGCUGAUGGCAAUUUGACAGAGCCCCUGGUAUGGGCCAGCAGGUAACUCUGCCCACACCACAGGUAGUACCCAGGUGCCUGCCUCUGGGGGUCAAGCCUCUCAGAGAGCCUGGAGCCUAAAUUGGGAGCACCUCAAGCACUCAGGCUAGCACCUUGUCUGGCCAGGAAGUAGCUUUUGUACCUGCAGUAAAUAAAGCAACAGACAGACAAAAUGCUUUCCUGCACUUAGUUAUGAGCCCAGAUACAUCAUCAAGUUCUUUGUACGUCAGCCCAGCCAGCACUUACAGAGUAUACACCUUAAAGAGAAGAGAAGCUGUGAGAGGUGUCUUAAAGGAAAAAAUAAUGCAUUUAAGUUCACAUGAGGUAAUUUUUUUUUUUAAUUGAUAGCCCCAGGAUAUUAAUAUGCAUAAAACCCCUGAAUGUGAUAGACUGCAAUGCAGGAAAACUACAGAGUUUUAAUUAGAACUCCUGUGAUUGAAGAUCCUAGAUAUAAUUUUAUUAUGCAAGAACAUUUGAUUUUUAAAUAUGUGUUAUUUUUAUGUAUAUUACUAAAAUGACUGGCUUGUCCUUUUUUUCCAU